AGGCCUCCGCAAGAAGCUCCCAGGGUUGGAGGUAUAGGCCUGGCGGGGCUCAGUGUCUGCCUGCGCUUGAUGGGCUGUGGCUCAGUGAGAGAAAGAGUUAACUUGCCCUCAGAAUCAUUUCUCACGGGAUAACUCAUCUGCCAGGCUCUGGCCCAAGUCCUAGAAUCGGGGCUGCUUUCUUUUUUUUGGGGGGGAGGGGUGGUGCUCACAGCGGCGGUCUGCGUCUCUCACUGCAGAGGAGGUGGAGGAGAUGGAAGAGGACAUGGUCAGGUGGCUCCUGCAGAGGCUGGCUUGGACCAGUCCUGAUACAAAGGCACCCAGGAUUUGGAAAGGAAGAGGAGUGCCAGCUCUCCCCUUCUCUUGGGGCAACUGUGAGUCCAGGGUACCUUGGGUUUACCCUGAAAGAGCGGAAGAGGCUGACUCACUUCAAGAUCAGAUGAGGAGAGACAAGAGCCAUGAUUAUGAGAGGAAAUCCAUUUCAGCGGCCUUGCUGUGGGGCUAUGGAUUCGGCUGGGCUGCUGGUGUACUUGCCUAGCAUUUCAGGUCCCGAGUUCAAACCCCAGCACUGCAUAAACCAGACACGGUGUCACACGGCUACAAUCCCAGCACGUGGGAGAUGGAGGGAGUGGAUCAGAAGUUCAAAGUCAUCCUCAGCUACGGUAUUAAGGGAGACAAUCCUUGCUUCUAUUCAGCCUUCACCAGAAAGAGAAGGUGGCCAAUGUGACAACCAACCAGAGGUGGCCCAGGGUUGCUGCUGUUAAAACACAAACACCAAAGCUCCUCUACCUGCCACCCCCAAGAAGCCUACUCCUCUGCCCUGAGUACUGUGCCCUUUUCCUUCCUCAAGCUUUUUUAAUGAUUGCGGAUCUUCUGAUCAACCCUGCUUAGAUGGAACCCAUGUUUCUUCUCUAUUUUUUCCCUUCCGGUAAGAG